CUGCGGAAGGAUCAUUAAUGAAAUUAUAAUCCGGCGAGGGAAAGGCGGAGAGUUGUAGCUGGCCCUAGGGCAUGUGCACGCUUUCUUCUGGACUUUCGCCGUAUGGGCGCGGGGCGACCCGCGUCUUCAUAUACCUCUUCGUGUAGAAAGUCUUUGAAUGUUUUUACGAUCAUCGAGUCGUGACUUCUAGGAGACGCGAUUCUUUGAGACAAAAGUUAUUACAACUUUCAGCAACGGAUCUCUUGGCUCUCGCAUCGAUGAAGAACGCAGCGAAUCGCGAUAUGUAAUGUGAAUUGCAGAUCUACAGUGAAUCAUCGAAUCUUUGAACGCACCUUGCGCUCCUCGGUGUUCCGAGGAGCAUGCCUGUUUGAGUGUCAGUAAAUUCUCAACCCCUCUCGAUUUGCUUCGAGCGGGUGCUUGGAUGGUGGGGGCUGCCGGAGACCUGGAUUCGUUCAGGACUCGGGCUCCUCUGAAAUGAAUUGCCUUGCGGUCGACUUUCGACUUUGCAUGACAAGGCCUUUGGCGUGAUAAUGAUCGCCGUUCGCCGAAGUGCACGACAGAAUGGUCCCGUGCCUCUAAUGAGUCGACGCCUUCUGGCGUCUUCCUUAUCGACGUUUGACCUCAAAUCAGGUAGGACUACCCGCUGAACUUAAGCAUAUCAAUA
rnacentral:rRNA from 1 species